GACGAACGCUGGCGGCGUGCCUAAUACAUGCAAGUAGAACGCUGAAGCUUGGUGCUUGCACCGAGCGGAUGAGUUGCGAACGGGUGAGUAACGCGUAGGUAACCUGCCUGGUAGCGGGGGAUAACUAUUGGAAACGAUAGCUAAUACCGCAUAACAGUAGAUAUCGCAUGAUAGCUACUUGAAAGGUGCAAAUGCACCACUACCAGAUGGACCUGCGUUGUAUUAGCUAGUUGGUGAGGUAACGGCUCACCAAGGCAACGAUACAUAGCCGACCUGAGAGGGUGAUCGGCCACACUGGGACUGAGACACGGCCCAGACUCCUACGGGAGGCAGCAGUAGGGAAUCUUCGGCAAUGGACGGAAGGCUGACCGAGCAACGCCGCGUGAGUGAAGAAGGGUUUCGGAUCGUAAAGCUCUGUUGUAAGAGAAGAACGAGUGUGAGAGUGGAAAGUUCACACUGUGACGGUAUCUUACCAGAAAGGGACGGCUAACUACGUG
rnacentral:rRNA from 1 species